CGAAGAAGUGGUGGAUGGUACUCCACCUUUAUUGACAGCCUCCACAGCAUUGUUAAUUAAUGCUUGUUGCUGAAUCUUCUGCUGCUGUGCAGCAAGAUCUUGACGAUACGCGUCGUGAAUAAUCCAUGCAUUGCGAUUUAGCUCCAGUCAGCAAUUCCAGUGGAUCCUCUUCCCUUUCCGUCAUUGCUCCAUGAUCACUUCGGCUACUGUCUAAAGCUGCAUUGCUCGUAUUAUUGGCUCCAGCAGCACCUGAUGCAGCAGCCGUGUCGAUCGAACGAUCCCCAUCAUAAGCUUCACUGACUGUAUCGUCAGCGUCCGAUGUUCCAGCAUCUACUUCCUGUCGAAUUUCUGCAACUGCAUUUCGUUAUAUGUCAGAAACGUUAGUUGGCUCGACGUAAACCGAUGACGACGUUUGAUCAAAGAGUUCAACUGAGGAAUUUUCUGGAAUCAGUGGGAUGAAACAGCGAUCUGGGAUGCUGUACACCACCUGAUUCUUUGUUCGCUGCGGAUCAGCUGCACUCAGAACGAUUCUUACCGUUCCCGGAAUUUCCUGCCGAACAGUUCCUUUCUGUUAGAGAUUGUACAUGUAAAAUCAUAACAAUCCAGUCAUUCUUGCCUCGUCGUCGUCAACGUUCCAGGUGUAAUGUUGUGCUUCCCAACGACGAUCAUUUGGUUUCUGUAAAAGUUUUAGAACAUAGCAUUUGUUGCUAAAUCAAAAAUGUUUCGAUUUACCUUUCCCUGCGCUUCAUGUUGCUUUGCAUCGGCAGCACGAAUUCUGUUAACGAGGAGCUUGUGAUGCAAAUUACUGAUGCGCUGUAGACGAAAAAGGAAAAGAACUGUAUAAUGCAAGCAGUAUGCAAAAGAAAAUGUGAAAUAAAUAAUUUCAAAUACUUUUUGAAGUAGUUUAGGACCCAUUUUUAAACGCUGGUGAUGGUUCUAGAAUUGAAGAUUGACAAUAACGAUUCAACACGGUUUGGUCGCUAAGCGCUGGAGUCGUCGUGGUGAGGGCACAGAUAAUCUUGAUCGAUACACCGCUUGCUUAGCAAUUACAAUAUCUACAGAGUUUGCUUGCCAAAAAAAAACAUGUAGAUAUACUACGAUGAAUUGGUGAUUCGUGCCAAUGACGUGGCAAAGAUUCCCCAGUGUGAUUUGCUGAAAGUAACAGGAAUCUAUCGAGUCAAGGCAUAUAACAAAUGUAUUGAGUUGGAUGUUUUUUCAUGUACAAACAUGGCUUUCGUAAAAAAAAAGGCACACACUGAAUGCGUGCAAAUAAUAAACUAGAAAUUUUUUCGAUAGAUCGCCAUGUACCAACAGUGCAAAAGCCCAAGGGGGGGAAAAAAACAGCUCAUGUCUAAGGCUAGAUAGGUACCCUCUGGUUGGGCUAGGGAUAAAGUUCACGUGCGACUUGGAACCAAAAUGAAGGACGAAGCUAGGCGUCAAAA